GGGCGUAGCAAUACGUCAGUGGCAGACGGGUGAGUAACGCGUGGGAACGUACCUUUUGGUUCGGAACAACACAGGGAAACUUGUGCUAAUACCGGAUAAGCCCUUACGGGGAAAGAUUUAUCGCCGAAAGAUCGGCCCGCGUCUGAUUAGCUAGUUGGUGAGGUAAUGGCUCACCAAGGCGACGAUCAGUAGCUGGUCUGAGAGGAUGAUCAGCCACAUUGGGACUGAGACACGGCCCAAACUCCUACGGGAGGCAGCAGUGGGGAAUAUUGGACAAUGGGGGCAACCCUGAUCCAGCCAUGCCGCGUGAGUGAUGAAGGCCCUAGGGUUGUAAAGCUCUUUUGUGCGGGAAGAUAAUGACGGUACCGCAAGAAUAAGCCCCGGCUAACUUCGUGCCAGCAGCCGCGGUAAUACGAAGGGGGCUAGCGUUGCUCGGAAUCACUGGGCGUAAAGGGUGCGUAGGCGGGUUUCUAAGUCAGAGGUGAAAGCCUGGAGCUCAACUCCAGAACUGCCUUUGAUACUGGAAGUCUUGAGUAUGGCAGAGGUGAGUGGAACUGCGAGUGUAGAGGGUGAAAUUCGU
rnacentral:rRNA from 1 species